UACGUAGGGGGGCAAGCGUUUGUCCGGAAUCAUUGGGCGUAAAGAGCGUGUAGGCGGCCUGAUAAGUCGGUUGUGAAAGUCAAGGGCUCAACCCUUGAAUGCCGGCCGAUACUGUCAGGCUAGAGUCCGGAAGAGGCGAGUGGAAUUCCUGGUGUAGCGGUGAAAUGCGCAGAUAUCAGGAGGAACACCGAUGGCGAAAGGCAGCUCGCUGGGACGGUACUGACGCUGAGACGCGAAAAGCGUGGGGGAGCGAACAGGAUU
rnacentral:rRNA from 1 species